rnacentral:rRNA from 1 species
CCUACGGGAGGCAGCAGUGAGGAAUAUUGGUCAAUGUGCGAGAGCCUGAACCAGCCAAGUCGCGUGAGUGAAGACGGUCCUACGGAUUUUAAACCUCUUUUGUCAGGGAGCAAGGAGCGCCACGAGUGGUGCAGCGAGAGUACCUGAAGAAAAAGCAUCGGCUAACUCCGUGCCAGCAGCCGCGGUAAUACGGAGGAUGCGAGAGUUAUCCGGAUUUAUUGGGUUUAAAGGGUGCGCAGUCGGAAGCGGCAAGUCAGCGGUAAAAUUGCGGGGCUAAACCUCGCCGAGCCGUUGAAACUGCUCUUCUAGAGUGGGCGAGAAGUAUGCGGAAUGCGUGGUGUAGCGGUGAAAUGCAUAGAUAUCACGAAGAACACCGCUGGCGAAGGCAGCAUACCGGCGCCCAACUGACGCUGAGGCACGAAGGCCAGGGGAGCGAAAGGGAUUAGAUACCCGGGUAGUC